rnacentral:misc_RNA from 1 species
CCGGGAAGCUCAACCAACGCAACGCAAUGUAAUAAAUCGACUUCAGUGUCCAGUUGUUGAAAGUGUGGUCCCGGUUCGUCAUGACGACACGUAAUGCACAGCAGGCAAAUAGGGAGGCAGAAUCAAGACUUGUCCAGUAUCGAGUGCAGAAUGCCCAGAAACAUCUGGGAAAUAUCUGUGAAACAGUUGGCUCUAUCGUCAGAAAGAGUGCCAGGCUGAGAGACAAAGGUGAUCUGUUGGCCAGCAGGCUGACAGCUUAUGCUGAAAGCAACCAUUUCAACUCAUCAUCCUGUUACAACAUCAAGCGCUUUGCUGAAAACUAUGCAGUGGUGCAGGACUACAGUGAUACCAAGGUUAAAAGAAUGGAGGCAAAAGUAUUGAAACCAUUGAUGCGAUAUGGAGAAUUGUGCAAAUACAUGAAGAAAACUGUUCACUCAGAUAUUGCUGCCUCAGGCAAGGAAAAGAAGGUAUUUCACAAACUUCAAAAACUGCAGCAGAAACCACACAACUCACAGCUUAUCAAUCAGACACAGCUAGAGUUGGAGAGGGUUCAAGAUGAGAAAAGGAUGUGUGCUGGUACCUUGCAGGUUGAAAUAGAAAGGUUUGAGUUUGACAGACUUUUGGGUAUUAAGAAAAUUCUGACUGAACUUGUGAAAAUAGAGAUGGUGUACCAUGCCAAGGCCCUUGAAUACCUGUCCAAAUGCUUUGAAAAUGCACAGCAGAUCAACAUAGAGGCUGAUCUCAGUGAAUUUCAAGCAGCUGCACUGCAGGCAGAAGGCAGAUAUGUUGGUGGUGACAGCAGUUCUAGAAGCCAGCAGCUUCACACAGGCUCCCCAGACCCAGUCUAUGCCGUUCCUUUCAGGCGGUCAACAGACCCAGUUACUUCCAGUCGCUUGUCAUCUCCACAGUCAAGGCAACCCAUCAGGGUUCGCAUUUCUGAACAAUCAUUUGUGUUUCCAGUUCAUGGUGUAUGAGAAUCUGGAUUUCUUAAAAUAAAAAUGAAACCCACUUCUGCAGUACAGAUCGGAUAAUGUACAUGUGCUGUAGUAUGUAAAAAUUCAUUUCUGGAAUUCUUCUUCUUGAUUUUUGAAAACAAAAGAAAGAGGCAUCUUGAUCCAUGUGGUGGAGAGCAUGAGGAAGUUGGAAAUGGGUACUAAGUUCAUGCUCACCUAGAAAACAAAGCCUUUUGUUCAGGACUGGACAAUCAUAUUUAUUUACCUUUUCCUGUCCGAUCAGGACAUUAUUUCAUUUUGUAGCAUUCAGUAUUAAAAUAGCGAAAAUAGUCUUUGUUUUAAUAUUUUCCUUCCAGUGCUAGCAACAGCUGUUAUGAAACUGUGGGUUUUUUUUUUUUUGAUUGCAAGGUAACUUAGAAUCAGAUAUAUAAUGUUACCGUUGUAUAAACCUUUUUCCCCAUUAUAGUACCAAAGCAAUUAGAAUUGUUAGUGUUUUUAAGACGUGAAGGGGUGUCAGUCAUCCCUUUUUAUUAUAUUUUAUCAUAUGAAAUAAAAUGAAUCAUUUCUACAGUUUGGGUUUUUUAUUUUCAAGAAUCUAAUAGGGUGCAUUUUUUUUUCUCUCAUGACUGGACAAAGCUCAGCGCAAGAUACUGUUUCCCUAAAUACCGGCUUAUAACUCCAAGCCAUUCUCUAGAUGCAUGCCAACAAAGAAUUUGUAAAUUUGUAUUUUUCAACAGAUGUGCCUAAUCAAUAGUGUGCCAUUACCUAAAAUCUUGAUCCAUCCCUGUACAUUUUUGAUGUUUAUUGAUCUACUUAUGUGCAUAGUAAUGUUUGUAGGCAUGUAUUUUGGCAACAGUAACAGGGUAACCCUUACUCUAACCCUCACCAGCUAUACCAGUGGGUGAUGAGGGAAUCGGGCUGAGAGUAUUUCCAGUGACUGAGUAGUACUUCUUGUCAUGAAUUUCAACUGCCUCACAUUAUUCUUGGGAGGUCUGGAGAUUCUCUCUACAUCAUUGGCAUGAAGUAGAUUCUUUAUGCAAAAGACAGCAAGAGCAUUACCAGACACUUACUAAUUUGUCCUCUCACUUGCUAUACUCUGAAAUGCAUGGCAGCCAUGAUCCUUGCCUGCUUGCCCAAGGAUCCAAUGAAUAUCAGCAGAAAUUACCCAGAUUUUGAUCUGAAGUAAAACUGAACGCAGUUUAAUCUUAGAAUCCACUGACACACUGAGAUAAUCUGAAGUCAAUUACAACCAAUAAAAUUAGCUAAAAAUUCUAAACAUUCAGAGAGACACAAAGUUGUGACUGACCCGGGGGUGUGAUAUAAUAUCUGUUACCUCCCACUCCUAUUGCAAUGUGUGCAAGGUGUGUACAGGAAAGAAAGGAAUGAUUGGUGUGUAAAUGAAUGGUAGACAAUGCAUAAUGUCCAUUAAUUUUAGUAUGGUGAGCUUUUCAACAUCGCACAACUGACAGACCACUACAGCAACCAAAGAAAGGUGAGGCAGUCAUAUUAUGAUAACGGUUUAAUUUUUGGUAGUAAAAUAAAGUUUUCAUGCUUUCUUCCUUGGGCUGCUCUAAAUCACAUAGUGUUAUAAACCAAAUACUUGCCUCACAAAGGCACCAAGGAAAGUUAUGACCUUUAUUUUGAUGUUUGGACAUACCACUGACACAAGGUCAAUAGAGGCUACACCUACCACUGUUGGAGCCAGUGUACAUACUAAAGCUAUGUACUACUAAGGUUAUAAAGACAUCAUACAAGGUUAUACAAGCAAUGGAAUGCCUGGUUGUGUGUAGCUAAACACUCACUUGUCACUACUGCAAUGAGAAGCCAUGAGUUCAGAUCUUGUCAACUGUAUGCGACAGCUAUUUGCAUGGCUGCCUAUCUGGGGUUUUAUUUGGGUACUCUGGUUUUCUUCUCUCUCCCUUCCCACACGUAGCUUGAAACCACUUUCAGGAUUAAGCACUUUCCUGCCAAAGCAACUGAUUAGACAAGCAAUGGCUACAGACACUGUGUGAUUUAAGAGCAGCCUUGAUAUGAAAAUCAACCAUGCACUAAAUAUGCAAUUCAGAACUGCACAUGAAUGUUUUCUCUACAGUAUCACAGUGUUAACUACAAAACACUAAAAUCUUUGUUCGUGAAAUCAGCAGCUGUGAGACGACAAUAAAAGCAGCAGUUACUAGGAAACUGCAGUACAAAACUAAAGACACAAAUGACGAGGUCAAUAAAAAUAGCAUUAUAUUUUAAAUGA